CCUACGGGUGGCAGCAGUGAGGAAUAUUGGUCAAUGGACGAGAGUCUGAACCAGCAAAGUCGCGUGAAGGAUGACUGCCCUAUGGGCUGUAAACUUCUUUUAUAUGGGAAUAAAACAGUGUAUGCAUACCCUCCUGUAUGUACCAUAUGAAUAAGGAUCGGCUAACUCUGUGUCAGUAGCCGCGGUAACACGGAGGGUCCGAGCGUUAUCCGGAUUUAGUGGGGUUAAAGGGAGCGUAGGUGGAUUGUUAAGGCAGUUGCUAAAGUUUGCGGCUCAACCGUAAGAUUGCAGUUGAAACUGGCAGUCUUGAGUGCAGUAGAGGUGGGCGGAAUUCGUGGUGUAGCGGUGAAAUGCUUAGAUAUCACGAAGAACACCGAUUGCGAAGGCAGCUCACUGGACUGCAACUGACGCUGAUGCUCGAAAGUGUGGGUAGCAAACAGGAUUAGAUACCCGAGUAGUC
rnacentral:rRNA from 1 species